AACGUACGCUGGCGGCAGGCUUAACACAUGCAAGUCGAGCGCCCCGCAAGGGGAGCGGCAGACGGGUGAGUAACGCGUGGGAAUCUACCCAUCUCUACGGAAUAACGCAUGGAAACGUGUGCUAAUACCGUAUACGUCCUUCGGGAGAAAGAUUUAUCGGGGAUGGAUGAGCCCGCGUUGGAUUAGCUAGUUGGUGGGGUAAAGGCCUACCAAGGCGACGAUCCAUAGCUGGUCUGAGAGGAUGAUCAGCCACCCUGGGACUGAGACACGGCCCAGACUCCUACGGGAGGCAGCAGUGGGGAAUAUUGGACAAUGGGCGCAAGCCUGAUCCAGCCAUGCCGCGUGAGUGAUGAAGGCCCUAGGGUUGUAAAGCUCUUUCACCGGUGAAGAUAAUGACGGUAACCGGAGAAGAAGCCCCGGCUAACUUCGUGCCAGCCGCCGCGGUAAAAC
rnacentral:rRNA from 1 species